rnacentral:rRNA from 1 species
AUGGAGGAUCUGGGCAUCGAGGCCAAGGAGGCCGCGGUGCGCGAGGUGGCCAAGCUGCUCCCGUCCCAGGACCUCCUCUCCUCCAUCGCCUCCAUCAAGGCCGACUACCUCUCGCGGCAGCAGACAAAUGAUACUCAACUCAGUUCAAUGGUGGCAGAACAGGUUGAGCAAGCUCAUGCUGGCAUCAGCGCUCUUGCGAUAUCCCAACAAACAAUAAACAGUCUACGUGAGAACUUCAUAGAUAUAGACAAGUUGUGUCAGGAGUGUCAAACAUUAAUCGAGAAUCACGACAGGAUCAAGCUCCUUAGCAAUGCAAGAAACAACCUGAACACAACUUUAAAGGAUGUAGGAGGUAUGAUGUCUAUUUCUGUUGAAGCAGCUGCAGCACGUGACUCCUUGAGCGAUGACAAAGAGUUGAUUCACACUUAUGAGAGAUUAACAGCUCUUGAUGGAAAGAGGCGUUUUGCUUUAGCUGCUGCUGGAUCUCAUAAGGAAGAAGUUGGCCGAUUGAGAGAAUACUUUGAAGAUGUUGAUCGAUCAUGGGAAACAUUUGAAAAGACAUUAUGGGGACAUAUUGCUAACUUCUUUAAACUUUCAAAAGAGAGCCCUCAGACGUUGGUCCGAGCUCUAAGGGUUGUUGAAAUGCAAGAGAUCAUAGACCAACAAGUUGCAGAGGAAGCAGCUGAGGCUGAGGGUGCAGGUGCUAUGGCGACGAUAGCAAACCAACGUAGAACGACAAAAAAAGGUGCAGGGGCAGCAUCUACCCCAAGAAAUAGCACCCAAGAGAAAUCAAAGACCCAGGGAAAGGGCUACAAGGAUAAAUGCUAUGAGUGCAUAGGGAAGGCUGUUGAGGCUCGCUUUGACAAAUUGCUCACUGAGCUUGUUUUCUCAGAAGAUAUGAUGGAAGCUCUGGAGGAAGCUAAGGCAAUUGGAGAAGAGCUUGGCGAUAUCUAUGACUAUGUUGCACCAUGUUUUCCUCCUAGAUAUGAAAUUUUCCAGCUCCUGGUAAAUCUAUAUACCGAAAGGUUCAUUCAUAUGCUAAGACUGCUCAGUGAAAGAGCAAAUGAUAUUCAAAAUAUAAACAUACUGAAGGUAACAGGUUGGGUUGUGCAAUAUCAAGAUAAUCUUAUUGGCCUUGGUGUGGACGAGUCUCUUGCCCAAGUUUGUUCAGAAAGUGGUGCAUUGGAUCCCCUCAUGAAUAUGUAUGUAGAGCGUAUGCAGGCAACAACUAAGAAAUGGUACACUAACAUUUUGGAGGCUGAUAAAACACAACCACCAAAGAGUACAGAGGAUGGAAAACUAUAUACACCUGCAGCUGUAGAUCUAUUCAGAAUAUUGACAGAGCAAGUGCAGAUAGUAAGAGAAAAUAGCACAGAUGUCAUGCUAUAUCGUAUUGCUCUCGCAGUUAUUCAGGUUAUGCUUGAUUUUCAAGCAGCUGAGAGGCAAAGCCUUGAGGAGCCAGCUUCUGAUGUCGGUCUGGAAACUCUGUGUGCAUUGGUCCGUAGUUUUCUUUCACUAAUUAACAACAACCUGCGUUGCUACGAACUUUCAUCAGAGCUAAGUAGCAGCACAUUGGAAGCGCUUCCUCCGAACUAUGCUGAACAGGUUAAUUUUGAAGACACUUGCAAAGGAUUUCUUGAGGUUGCCAAGGAGGCGGUCCUUCAAACUGUCAGUGUUAUUUUCGAAGACCCAGGUGUGCAGGAUCUUCUUGCGAAGGUUUACCAAAAAGACUGGAUGGAUGGAAUGGUGACCGAAUAUCUGGUCGCCACGUUUGCUGAUUAUUUUGGCGAUGUGAAACUAUAUAUUGAAGAUAGAUCGUUCCGAAGAUUUGUGGAGUCUUGCCUAGAGGAAACAAUUGUUGUAUAUGUUGACCAUCUUCUCAGUCAGAAAAAUUAUAUAAAAGAAGAAACGGUUGAGAGGAUGAGGCUAGAUGAAGAAGUGCUUAUGGAUUUCUUCAGAGAGUACACUAGUGUGACUAAAGUUGAAAACAGAGUACGAAUUCUGGCUGAUCUGAGGGAGCUUGCUUCAGCUGAGAGUCUGGAUAGUUUCACUCUGAUUUACACAAAUAUUCUGGAACAUCAACCAGACUGCCCGUCGGAGGUUGUUGAGAAGCUCGUUGCACUGCGGGAAGGCAUUCCACGGAAAGAAGCCAAGGAGGUCGUACAAGAAUGCAAGGAGAUAUACGAGAACUCCCUCAUAGAUGGCAAUCCGCCAAAGUCAGGGUUCGUGUUUGGUAAAUUGAAGUGCCUAACAGUAAAGAAAGGCAUAUGGGGGAAGCUUGGACAGUGA